UGCUGAUGCCAUGGGUGGGGCUCGAGAACCAACAAUGCUAGCAAUGGCUGGAGAGAACCUUAAAAAGUAAAUCGUUUGUCACUCACACUCCCUGCUGGGCUUGCAGCAUGUACCCGUCUGUUUGCUAUGAGGACACAUGGGCCUUGAGUGGCAGCCCCCCCACCCCCGCACUUCUCCAGGACCUGUUUUCUGGCUGAAUUAGAGCUCUGAGGAGCUCUUCUGGCCUCUUCCUCCUCUUUAAGAGCUUGAUCUGAUUCCCAGUGACAUUUACGGGACCCUUGCCCUUAGUUUUGUUGCUGCUGCAGCCUGCAGAUUUUGCAAAAGCACUUUCACUGAUCUAAUUGCUGAUCUCAGACACUGCCUGGACUCUACUGUGUGACUAUAUCAAGCACGUGAAGGAACGAUAUCCAGCAGCAACAGCUCAUGGACAGUUUAAUUUGACUAGUGCUUACUACAGAGCGGCUUAAAGCUGUACUUUUGAAUACUUUAUUUGCCAGGAGUCUUUUAACUUAUUUAAAAAUAUAUAUUCUAUUUUAGGAAGCAAUCUGAUUACAAACCACUUGCCCCACAAGGAUAAAAAGAGCUUGUACAGCACCAAGUUCCUAAAGGGCAAGUAGGAAGAAAAAUAUUUGACAUUUUAUGAACAUGCUUCCUUUAACCUGCCAACUUCCAUUUUACAAGGUGGUAAAACUAACACUCAUACUCACAAAAUCUUAUGUAAUUUUACCACUGUGAAUAAUUCAGAAUAGAUACUGAUGGUCCCAGUAGCUGUCAGCAUUUACCUCAAACUUCUUUCAGAGACAGGGCUUGGACACAAGUCAGCGAAAGUUUUGUUGUGGGAUGUUAUUUGGGAGGGGAAGGGAGAGUGAUCCAGUACCUUCUCUUGCCCUCUCCCCCUUGCUUCAGGCCUUCCUUCCUCCACCCCACCAAUUUGGGGUGAUCACCCCAGUUUCUCCCUCAACUUCUCCAUCAUGAUGAGCAUAAAAUAGGGCCAAAUAUAGAUAUACUCUGAAGCUAUUCCCACAAUCAGUAGAAAGUGGGCUAAGGGAGCUUAGACCACUUUCUACUGAUUGUUGGAAACACCGCGAGCCCGGUGGUUCCAAGGCGGCUUGCCCGCCUAAUUCCCCCUCCCCUUAAAUGAGGUUAAUGGCGAGAAUGAUCCGUUUACCUAAUUUUUUUUGGCUUGUGUGCCACUGUGGCAUGCAGAGACACAUGAGUAGACCCCCGACCGGGAAGCUGCAGCCAGUCUCCCAGCCUGAGGUCUCUCCAGAAUCCUGGAACUUCUGGGGGCCAUGCGGCCCCCGAUUCCCGCAGCCCCCCCUGGUUCCAUGACCAAGCUGGUAGUCAUGGGGGCAGCUGAUGCGGCUGCCCAGGGCUGCAUGCAAGAUUGUCUGCAGAGAGAGCAGGCUAAGCCGGCUCUCCCCGCAGACCCUCCAGAAGCUCUUCUCACUGAUCGUGAGAAGAGAUUCUCUAUCUGUGAGGGCUGAAUAUGAGGCUAGAGAGGCUCAGAAGUUAAACUCCACUUCCAUCUUCCCUCAGAUUCACCAAAAUGACAGCCACAGACUGCUGAGUUCAGAUGGAAGGCAAAAUGCAUCACCUUACCCCUCGGCUACCCUGGAUCAGUCUUCCCUCUAACAGGAAUUCCCAGAUGUUGUUGACUACAAUUCCCAGAAUCCCCAGCUGCAAUGUGGCUUUUGCUUUGGGAUUAUGGGAGUUCUAGUCAACAACAUCUGGGAAUCCCUGUUAGGGGGAACACUGCCCUGGAUAUGCUUCACGGCCUUUCUCUAUUUUUCAAAAUCAGCUUAAGAGUUCAUGAAGGGACAGGAAAGCACUGGAAAUGCAUCACCUCUUUACCCUGCCAAAAUGAAAGGACUGGUUUAGUGCAAGACAAUGCACCUUCAACACACCAUCUUCCCCUUUUGUGAACUGAUUAUUAGUGUUCCAUUUGUUUGAAACCCUCUGGGGCUGACAAAGAGAUGGACUCUACAGCAUUUUUCUUGACACAGGAGAGAGUAAAGUGGUGCAUGUUUUGGUUAAUGUGCAUGAACCCAGCUAUGAAGAUUCAAUCAAGCCUGCUCCUGCCUGUUUGUCACACCAUGAAUGCUAGUUUAGUGAUAGAACACUGGAAACUGGAGGAUUAGAAAGGGAAUGCGAACCAAUUCCCCUAUAAUAAUGCUCAUCCUGGACAAAAUGAACAGAUAUGUGACAUCACAUUUCAAUAAUGACUGCCUCCCUCAUACAUUGUUACAAUUUUGCUACUUAAAGCAAAAGGGGUUUUAUUGACCCCUUCAUGCCAAGAUUAAAAAACCAGUAACAAACCGAUUAUUGUAAAUGCCGUGUAUGUUAAAAAGAACUGUAUAAUAUCAAAAUGCAUGUUUUUAUGUUCAUUUGAGAAGUAGGAUCUCUCUCAAGAAGAUCUCUUUUAUGGCUCUUGUUUAUGGGAAUCAACAUGGCAACACCAACUCUAACUGCGGUGUACUUAACAUAUUUCUACCAGACAACAGCCGACCCUCUCUUAUUAAAGUUAGUGAUUCAGCGUUAUCGUUCCUUUAAAUUGCCUCAGAACAGAUGUUGCAGCUGUUAAAUAACCCCUUCUCUUUACACUGGAAUGCAAAAACGGUUAGAGGUUUUAAAAGUUUCCCUCUAAUAGUUCCUAAACAUAAACCAAGUUGUUUAAAACUUCCUGCCAUUUGCAAGCACUGAUGGUGCGCGGCAUUCCAGGAGCAUGAUCAGAAUGUUCCUUGCUUCAUAAGAAAGAAAGCCAACCCCACUCACUUAUAGAACUCUUGGC